UACGAAGGGGGGCUAGCGUUGCUCGGAUUGACUGGGCGUAAAGGGCGCGUAGGCGGUUCGUACAGUCAGACGUGAAAUUCCUGGGCUCAACCUGGGGGCUGCGUUUGAUACGUGCGGACUUGAGUGCGGAAGAGGGUCGUGGAAUUCCCAGUGUAGAGGUGAAAUUCGUAGAUAUUAGGAAGAACACCAGUGGCGAAGGCGGCUCAUUGGCCCGGUACUGACGCUGAGGCGCGAAAGCGUGGGGAGCAAACAGG
rnacentral:rRNA from 1 species